rnacentral:lncRNA from 1 species
GGUAUUGAUAAAACAGUAGCGAGUCUAAUUGAGGAGCUGAAGAAAAGGCUUGAUCUGUGAAAGGCUGUGAAGAUAUUAAAGUCUAUUGCGUCAAUCUUUGCUGGAAAUGAUUAUAUCAUUGUAACCACAAUGUUGUUGACAAAGUUGGUAAGAGAAGGAAGGCUUCGCUAUUAGCUAUUGCCAUCAUCACAGAUAGACUUUUGACCCGUGUGGCCAUCUUCGCAGAUAACUCGUGGAACUGAUCAAUGGUAUUGUUGAAUGAUGUUGAUUGAUAGGAUGCAUACUCACAUAGGACGGGACGAGGCCUUAGUGAUUGAAUAACAAUGAUAGACUAUGUUUAACUUGUUUGUUAGAUUUCAAGACGAUGUAAAUGUUAAAUGUUUAAUAAAACGAAACUUCAAAUUUCCAUGUGUUUUGAAACAAUGAUUCUGUUACAACACUCCCCGAUGUUUCCGCCACGUUUUGUUGUUUUAUCGUGGUCGGGGUGUGACAGUAGAGGUUCGGACAUGUGUAAUUAUAACAAGUUUGCUAUUAUUC